GUGAUGCGAAGAUUGUGAUUUAACUGGUGAAGAAAUUCAUGAGAUAAUGGCUGACCUCUUUAGACCUGGAAACAUGCCGGCUAGAUCAAUAAUUGCAUACAUCACUUUAAUUCCCAAAUUAAAGGGAAGGUCAAAUUGAAGGCCAAUUAGACUGGUAAAUGGAUUAUAUAAAAUUAUUGCAAAGGAUUUAUUGAUCAGGUUUUUGAAAGUCAUGCAUGCAAUCAUUAGUACAAACAAUAAGCUUUUAUAGCUUUUAUCCAUAAAUAAAAAAUGAUAAUUUUGAAUGAAAAGAUAUAUUUUUUUUACCUUCAAUUAAAUCAUUAGUGUCAAAGUAUCAUUUUUAUUUAAAAUUUUAAAUUGCUAGAUGAGUUAUAAAGAAUAAUUUUAUAUUAUUCUCUAAUAAUUAAAAUUUUUAUGAAUUUUUAUUUUAAUUAUCUACAGUUUUAAUUUAAAUAUUCACAUAGUUGAUAAAAAAUAUUUUUUUCAUUAAAAUAAAAACAAAAUACAUGAAAAAAUAAAAUUUUAAUAAACAAAUACAUCCGUUGGUGUCCUGUGAAAAUCUAUUUUAAUUUCUACAUAAUUUAAUAAAAUAAAUUUUUAAAAUGACACUCAAAUCAGUAGGCAAUCAUAAUGGCUAAUUUAAACUGUUAAAUAAAAUUUUAAUAAUAAUUUAUAUUAUUUUUUACAGUUCACAUGUCAUUUUUCUCACUGGUAAACUUUUUGCAUUGCACAUUAAUGAUAGUAGGACAUGGAGAAUUGACAUGUCAUGUUUUCGUCUUCAUGGUUGGAUUGAUUUGAAGAUUGAUUUUUUUUUUAAAAUGGAGGUAAAAAUUGAUUUUAAAAAUAUUUUUUAUUUAUAAACACUUUUAAAAAAUUCCCUUUUAAUCUAAACCAAAGGAAUUUGAGAAACACCGCAACAUCCAUUAAAAAUGAUGCAAAUUUAUUGUAAAAGUGUUUCAAUAGCAUUUUUCCUAGUGUGCACGUAGCCAAUUUUUAUGAGCGACUCCUUCAGCCAUAAUUACGUUUUGGAGGAGAGGUAGUGAAUAGACUGUAAAAGAGGCAGUGAACGUUUGAUAUUCCUGUCGUUCUUACAUCCAUUCAGCACCUCUCUUUCCAAACUCAAACAAGAGGCAUCCAGAUUUUCAUGGUGGAAACUUUAAGCCCUCUAUUCUCUCAUCAACCAUGUUCUCCAUGGUGGUGUUCCAGAUUGAAUCUGGUUAGUCUCUUAUCUCGGCCUUUUAUGGAGCUUAGGUCAGAUUGAAGGCUAGCAUAGGUAUUUGCUGCUGCUGCUGCUAUACGGUUUGUUUUCUAUGUUAGAUAUCUUCAAUAGCCUACUUGUCAAGUGAGCUAUAAAAGAUUUUACUGGAAAUUACUUUGGUUAGUAUAUCUGUUAACUGGUCUUCAGAUUUUACAAAUGAGAAUUAAAUUAUCUUGGUCUUGAGUUUUUCCUUGAUGGCGUAUUUAUCUACCUCAACAUGUUUUGUCUGGUCAUGUUGAACUGGAUUAGAUUGCCUUGUUGUCACAGAGUAGCCUCAUCCCAUUUCCUAGUGUGUUCCUAGCCAAUUUUUAUGAGCGUCUCCUUCAACCAUAAUAGCUCACAAAGCCUCUUGAUCAUUCCUAUGAACUCAGCUUUUGCACUGGACAAUGCUACAGCCUUUUUACUUUUCAAUGUGACAAGGUUAAUUACCUCGUACAAAGGUAAAGUAACCUGACGUGGAUUUUCUAUCAACUAUACUUCUUUCCUGAUUUGUAUUUAGGCCCUGUUUGUUUGCUGGAAAGUAGUUUUUUUUUUGGAAUGUGAAUUUCGGGGAAAGUGAAUUUCGAGGAAAGUGAAUUCCGGGAAAGUAUUUUCCAAUGUUUUGUAGUGUAAUGAAAAAUAAGUUGGAAAAUAUUUUCCAGUGUUUGGUUAUGUUAUGGAAAAUGAGCUGGAAAAUAACUUAUUAAUGUUUUAUUUUUCUCAAGUUUAUUAAAAUAAUGAGGAACAAAUCUUAUAAAUUAAAAAAGUUGAAUGAGAAUGAAAUUGAAAAAAAAAUAUAAUUUCAUAAAUUAUCUCAAAUAAAAUAAAUAAUAAUCAAAAUAAUAGAGAUCAAAUCUAAAAAAUUAAAAAAAAAAUAAAAGGUGAAGAAAUUAAAAUAAUAAUAAUUAACAUUUCAUAAAUUAUUUCAAAUAAAAUAAGUAACAAUCAAAAGAAUGAGAACCAAAUUUGAUAGAUAAAAAAUUUCAAUAAAAAAAUGAUAAGAAAAAAGCAAAUAGCAAUUAUAAAAAUAAGAACCAAAAUUAAUAUAAAAAUUAAAUUUUAAGAGAUGAAAUUGAAAAAUAAAUAUUCAAAACAAAUUAUAUAUAGCAAUCAAAAGUUUGAGGAUCAAAUUUGAUAUAAUCAGCAAAUAAUGACAUUUCUAAAUUUUUCACAACUUCCGGAAAGUGUUUUCCGCUCAAAUUUUCCAGGAAAACACUUUCCUGAAAACCAAGCCAAAUUUUCCUUUGACUGGAAAGUGUUUUCCGUUGACAAACUUUUCUAAUGACAAACAAACACAGGAAAGUUUGGAAAGUGGUUUCCGGGAAACCACUUUCCGGAAAACAAACACAGCCAAAAGGGAAAACGCUUUCCUGAAAACCAAACCAAAUUUUUCUUUGACUGGAAAGUGUUUUCCAUUGACCGAAAAGUGUUUUCGUUGAUCGGAAAGUGUUUUUUGUUGACCAACUUUCCUAAUGGCUAACAAACAUAGGAAAGUUUGGAAAGUGAUUUUUCGGAAAGUGAAUUCCAGGAAACAAACAUGGCCUUAUAUAUCCAUCAAUGUUGAGGUGCUUAUUUUCUGAGAACAUGCAUGAUCCCUUUACCAGAAAUUGAUUCCAAGUAUCUAAGAAUCUUCUUGAACAUAUACUUCCUUUGUUAUAAGAGAAUACCUCUGGCUAAUCUUAGACAUCUCAUUGUCUAGGAAGUAUUUUAGCCCUUCAGGGUUCUUUGUUUCAAACUUAGCUGUCAUAUUUUCUUGAAGUAUUUGAAUUUCUUCUUCAUCGUUGUUUGUAAUUUUUGUAUCAUUAACUUAUUUUAUCGAAGUUGUUACUUUUUUUAUAUAUAUUUAAGAAAUAAUGUAUGAUUUAAGUUAAUUUUGUCCAGGUAAACUCCUCUUUAAGAUCUUUUUGAAGAAAAACAUUUUUUAAUUAAUUAAAUUGAUGUAAUGACCGAUUCAAAUUUGUUGUUAGAGAUAUUAGAAUCUAAAUUUUAUUCAACUUCGCUACCGGGAAUAUGCCAUAUGUCUCUCCCUUUGUAGAGGAGAGAUGGUGAGGAGGUCGAGAAAUAGUACAUUGUAGAGGAGAGAUGGCGUCGCGUCGCGUCGAGUAGAAGGAUGAUAGCAACAUAUCCAAUAUAAAAAACAAAGAAAAACAUAUGGGUCAAGUUUCAUGCUUUGAUUUUUAUGGAUAUGAACAAAGGCAAUACAAUAAAAAAAAAAAAAUGCGAGGAGUAAGCAUUAAUAUGGAAGGCAGACCUGUCUAUGUCGAAAAAGUAAUACUGGAGUGAAAAAAAUGUUGUGUAUACAUCUUAUUCUCUGAGAAUUAAUAUAUAACGGUAAAAAUUGUUUUUAAAAUGUUUUUUAUUUAAAAUAUAUAAAAAUAUUUUUUUAAAAAAAUUAUAUUUAUAUCAAUAAAUCAAAAUAAUUUUAAAAUAUAAAAUCAAAUAAUUUAAAAAAAAUUCAAAAUUUUUCCAAACUUAAUUUACCCGCACUCUAAAAAAACACUCUAAGUUUAUAACUAUCGCAUAUGAUUGACUAUCCAAGUUAGUGUAUUAUAUUUUUUUUUUAAUGAGAGUGUUCAGGUUAGUUUGUAUGUAAUUUGAUUAAUUUUAUAGUUUUUAAAAUUAACAAUCAUAUAAAUUUUUAAUAAUUCUUCAAAUUUAUAGGACACAAAUUAAUAAUUUUUAAAAAAUAAAUUUAAAACCAUAUAAGUUAACAUCUACCAUUUUAAACUCAUCUUCUACCUUUCAAGACAAUCAUACCAGCUGACUCGAAGAAGCGCAGACCACCAAUGUCUAGAACUAACAACCAAAAGUGACCUCCAGCUCCAUUUUUUUUACUGAACAUAUCAGCAACCAAGAGUUCCAUCAUUUAAGAUAUAAAAAAAAUUAAAUUUUAUAAAUUAUUUUUAAAAUAAAAUAAAUAAGAAUUAAAAAAAUAAAUAACAAAUUGGUAGAUAAAAAAUUUGUAAAUGGUUUCGCUAGCUUCUGAGAUGAUACUUUGAUUUUCUUGCUCUGUAUUCUAGAGAAUAUCGAUUUGAUGGUUUUUCUUGAAAUGACUGAGAGGUAAUUUACAUCGAAUUAAUAAAAGAAUCUGGAAUAUUAGGAGAAGAAGCAAAGUGUAUUACCUCAAGGGGUCUUGAAUUUACGUGGUCUUCUACAAUUUAUGAUUGGACUGGUUGGUCUUCUA
rnacentral:lncRNA from 1 species